AUCGUUUAUUGGUCUAAAGACUAAGAUCAAACUGUAGUCUCUGUGUUUAUCAGCUUAACAUCUGAUAGUUCUCCCAUAGGGAGACAAUAAAUGUUAAACUAAUGAUUGUAAAGAGGCAGAAGGGAGUUACUUAGCUAAUAAGUAAGUACACAAAAUAUACUUGAAGGAGA
rnacentral:snRNA from 1 species